AUUGAACGCUGGCGGAAUGCUUUACACAUGCAAGUCGAACGGCAGCACGGACUUCGGUCUGGUGGCGAGUGGCGAACGGGUGAGUAAUACAUCGGAACGUGCCCAGUCGUGGGGGAUGACGUAGCGAAAGCUACGCUAAUACCGCAUACGAUCUAAGGAUGAAAGCGGGGGAUCGAAAGACCUCGCGCGAUUACAGCGGCCGAUGCCUGAUUAGCUUGUUGGUGGGGUAAAAGCCCACCAAGGCGACGAUCAGUAGCUGGUCUGAGAGGACGAUCAGCCACACUGGGACUGAGACACGGCCCAGACUCCUACGGGAGGCAGCAGUGGGGAGUUUUGGACAAUGGGGGCAACCCUGAUCCAGCAAUGCCGCGUGAGUGAAGAAGGCCUUCGGGUUGUAAAGCUCUUUUGUCAGGGAAGAAACACCGGCUCUAACACAGUCCGGGAAUGACGGUACCUGAAGAAUAAGCACCGGCUAACUACGUGCCAGCAGCCGCGGUAA
rnacentral:rRNA from 1 species